rnacentral:pre_miRNA from 1 species
AAGGUACUCUCUCCGUCCAACAAAGGAUGUCUCAAGUUUGUCAAAAUUUGGAUGUAUCUAGACAUGAUUUAGUGUAUAGAUGCAUUCAAAUUUGAUCAAAGUUGAGAUGGACGGAGGGAGUAAGAG